CGGCUGAACUUAAGCAUAUCACUAAGCCGAGGAAAAGAAACUAACAAGGAUACCCUAAGUAACGGCGAGUGAACCGGGUAAUGCUCAAUCUUAAAAUCUGUGUCUCAAAUGAGGCAUCGAAUUGUAGUUUUUGAUAAUCAUUCCCACUUCUUUUAAUAUAAUUAAAGUCUCUUGGAAUAGAGUGUCAUAGAAGGUGAGAACCCUGUGAAUAGUUAUAUUAAAGGGAGGAUAUUGAGUUUUGAUUAUCAUAGAGUCGGGUUGUUUGGGAAUGCAGCCUAAAAAGGGUGGUAAAUCUCAUCUAAAAGCUAAAAUAUUUUGGUAAAGAGACCGAUAGAAUACAAGUACCGUGAGGGAAAGAUGAAAAGAACUUUGAAAAGAGAGUUAAAAGUACUUGAAAUUGUUAACUGGG
rnacentral:rRNA from 1 species